rnacentral:rRNA from 1 species
AUGUGCCUCAUCGGGUGGGCGACUUCGCCGCCUCCGGCAUGCGCCACAAACUCCGCCGGAGUCAGGAAGCUACCAUGGCACACACACACAAUCCUCACCUCCUCAGCUCUGCUGUACUGGUACAGGAAGCCGUCGAUCCUCUCGCCGUUGGGGAGCCCGCUGGUGUACACCACUGGCAUCUUCCGCACCAUGUCUGCCACGCUCCUGGUCCUAGUAGCUCUCGCCGCCGGCCUUUCUGAACCAUCCCGCUGCUCCCCUGUGGAGAUGCCAGGGGCUGCUGCUCUCACCGCCAAUGCUGAAGAUGAAGGGGUUGUCACGGCGCCGCUGUUUGCACCCUCAGACGAGGGCAGAACAGCCGAUGACAGGCUCCGCUCUAGAGCGCCAGGAGUUCCUGCAAGAUUACACACCAACAUAUACCUUGGUGAUCAGCAGAAGCAAAUCUGA